rnacentral:lncRNA from 1 species
UUGAACAUGAUAUUAAAUAAUCCAGAAGAACUGAAUGAUACCUAGCAUGUAGUCCUGUUUGCUCAUACCCCAGGAGCUUACAGCUCACAUAUCUUCUAUGGAAAUCCACCAUUCCCUAGGCCUUGGUAUUUCAGCAGUUCUGUCUUACCAUAAGGUAGCUCUGGAAAGUUUCUGUGGAUGGUAGACCUGAAAGGGUUAAGUGCUGCUUUUGGUUUUUCUCUUGUCCAAAUGACCUAUGAGUUCUGCCAUCCAGUGAACUGUUCAACUGUCAUUUAAAACAGCCACUCAAUAGCACUUUAAAUUAACAGAAGUGGAGGUGAUAGGAUUAUCAUUAAAAUGUGAAAUCAAAAAUAAUUUUGUAUUUAUUAACCGCUUAUAAUAAGAUUAAUAGUAUAUGAUUAGUCACAGUCUG